AGCGAACGCUGGCGGCAGGCCUAACACAUGCAAGUCGAACGAACUCUUCGGAGUUAGUGGCGGACGGGUGAGUAACACGUGGGAACGUGCCUUUAGGUUCGGAAUAACUCAGGGAAACUUGUGCUAAUACCGAAUGUGCCCUUGGGGAAAGAUUUAUCGCCUUUAGAGCGGCCCGCGUCUGAUUAGCUAGUUGGUGAGGUAAAGGCUCACCAAGGCGACGAUCAGUAGCUGGUCUGAGAGGAUGAUCAGCCACAUUGGGACUGAGACACGGCCCAAACUCCUACGGGAGGCAGCAGUGGGGAAUCUUGCGCAAUGGGCGCAAGCCUGAUCCAGCCAUGCCGCGUGUGUGAAGAA
rnacentral:rRNA from 1 species